rnacentral:rRNA from 1 species
GUGUCAGCAGCCGCGGUAAUACGUAGGGGGCGAGCGUUGUCCGAAUUUAUUGGGCGUAAAGCGCGUGUAGGCGGCUCUUUAAGUCAGAUGUGAAAUCCUGCAGCUCAACUGCAGAACUGCAUUUGAUACUGGAGGGCUUGAGUGUGGGAGAGGAAAGUGGAAUUCCUGGUGUAGCGGUGAAAUGCGUAGAUAUCAGGAGGAACACCCGUGGCGAAGGCGGCUUUCUGGCCCACCACUGACGCUGAGACGCGAAGGCUAGGGGAGCGAACGGGAUUAGAUACCCCGGUAGUCCUAGCGGUAAACGAUGGAUACUAGGUGUUAGAGGUAUCGACCCCUCUAGUGCCGUAGCUAACGCAUUAAGUAUCCCGCCUGGGGAGUACGGCCGCAAGGUUGAA